AUGGAAUCAAUUAAGCACAGCAAGCUGCAGCCACUCUGGGGGAAAGGACACUGGAGGAGAACCCUUGAAGAAGACACAAGAUUUGAACCUGUUCUUGUUUUUCCCCACACACCACAACUUUGUAUGUACACUUUUUAAAAACUGAACAAACGACACUCUGGCUGGCAGUCUCAGGGAGGGAAAAAGGAGUAAAAAGCCCGUUUCGGUGCGCAUAUGAGGAGGCUGGAGGUCUCGAACCAGCCAACGAAGCCGUUCUCCCUGCAGAAGGAGUCGAGUUUUGGCUGCUGUGAGGACAGCUGGUCUGACUUAUUGGCCAGCAGUACAGCUGGAACUGGCCUCCCAUGAUUCAGGGUCACCUGAGGAGAAAGAAUGACAGAAACCCAGAGUCUCCCCCAUACCAGGAUGGUUCGACCCGACCUGUCAUAUGCCACCUGGCAUCACCUGUCAAUCACUUCAAAACUCAAAGAUGGAGUCGUGGUUGAAGCGUAGCAGUUAUAGUUUUAAAUGGUUAUAUGGUCACUGUUUUUACUAAAUUAGUUUCAAUCAUGACAUUUCAGUGAUGAGAAAUAUUUGCAAUACAUUUAGUCAUGGAUUAUUAACAUUUAAAAUGUGUGGGGUUUUUUUUAAAUGUUUGAAUUUUGUAUGUGUUUAUCAGUUCCAAAGUUUAAUAAAUCAGACUGAUGGCACAGCGCUCUGUUUUUAAGUCUUUUUUUCCCUUUCAACCAAAAAUGCUUUGCCCUGGUUAGGGGGUAAAUCACUGAAAUUUUUUUGAGAACCACUGCUUUAAUGGAAACAAUAAUACUGUCUUAAUGUAACUUAACCCUUUGAUGCACAACAUGGGUCUAAAGUGACCCGACUGAGUUUUUAUUAUCUUUGCAAUAAAUUAAUUUCAUCAUACAGUAUUUCCUCAACUUGUUUUUGAUCAUUAUAAAUCCUAAUU